AACGUAGGGGGCCAGCGUUGCUCGGAAUUACUGGGCGUAAAGGGUCCGUAGGCGGUGUGGCAAGUCGGAAGUGAAAUCUCCGGGCUUAACUCGGAGGCUGCUUCCGAAACUGCCGUGCUCGAGUGUGAGAGAGGCAAGUGGAAUUGCGGGUGUAGCGGUGAAAUGCGUAGAUAUCCGCAGGAACAUCCGAGGCGAAAGCGGCUUGCUGGAUCACAACUGACGCUGAGGGACGAAAGCUAGGGGAG
rnacentral:rRNA from 1 species